rnacentral:rRNA from 1 species
AGAUGGCGACCGGCGCACGGUGAGUAACACGUAUCCAACCUGCCGAUAACUCGGGGAUAGCCUUUCGAAAGAAAGAUUAAUACCCGAUGGUAUAAUCAGACCGCAUGGUUUGAUUAUUAAAGAAUUUCGGUUAUCGAUGGGGAUGCGUUCCAUAGGCAGUUGGUGAGGUAACGGCUCACCAAACCUUCGAUGGAUAGGGGUUCUGAGAGGAAGGUCCCCCACAUUGGAACUGAGACACGGUCCAA